ACUCAUAUAUACAGGUGUGUGGCCACAGCUCACUCUCUUUGACCUCCCAGGUGGCUGCAGGUAUUGUAUGGCGUGCUGGCUGUCGUGGCGCACGCUUCCUCCAUUCAUGGAAGAGGGAGGCUCGGUGAGAAGCUUGUUUGGGGUCGGUGAAGUGGUCACUGGAUAAGUCGGCGUUUAGUCCCUGGCUGAUGGUGGUUUGACGCUGCAGUGGUUGAGCUGCGGCCCUCCUCCUCCUGAUGAUCCGGGGCUGAGCUGCAUGCGUGUUGGACAUGGUAUUAAAUGAUUUGUAUUAAUGAA